rnacentral:pre_miRNA from 1 species
AGUGGGAUAGCUAGGUCAAAUGGUAGAUCUAUUCCAAAUUUUCUGAGGAAUCUCCAUACUGUUUUCCAUAAUGGUUGCACCAAUGUGCAGUCCCACCAGCAAU